CCUACGGGUGACUGCAGUGGGGGAUAUUGCACAAUGGGGGGACCCCUGAUGCAGCGACGCCGCGUGGGUGAAGGAGCGUUUCGGCGCGUAAAGCCCUAUCGGCAGGGAAGAAGAUGACGGUACCUGACCAAGAAGCCCCGGCUAACUACGUGCCAGCAGCCGCGGUAAUACGGAGGGUGCGAGCGUUAAUCGGAAUUACUGGGCGUAAAGCGCGCGUAGGCGGUAUGUGAAGUCAAGGGUGAAAUCCCCGCGGUCAACGGGGGAACUGCCUUUGAAACUGGCAAACUGGAGUGUGUGAGAGGAUAGUGGAAUUCCAGGUGUAGGAGUGAAAUCCGUAGAUAUCUGGAGGAACAUCAGUGGCGAAGGCGACUAUCUGGCACAUAACUGACGCUGAGGAGCGAAAGCGUGGGUAGCAAACAGGAUUAGAUACCCCAGUAGUC
rnacentral:rRNA from 1 species